AAAGAUUUAGAAACAGAAAAUGAAAACCUAAACAACUCUUUAACAGAAAAAACCAAAAUUAUUGAAGAGAACAAAGUUGUAAUAACAAAUUUUCAAACAAAAAUGAAUACAUUAGUUGAAACAACUAAAAAUAAAUAUAUUACACAAAUAGAAGAACAAGACAAAAAAAUUCAUGAAUUGCAAAACAAUUUAGAAAAGCAAGUUAAAGAUAGUAGUCAAAUGGAAAAAGAACUAAAAAAUAAAAUAAAAGAGCUAGAGGAUGAACAAAAUAUACUCAAACAAGAGAGCCAAAAUAAUGAAACUUUGCAAAAUAAAAUUAAUAUAUAUAAGGGAAAAUUAGACAGCCUCUUAACAGUUCAAAGUGUAAAUAAAGAGUUAGAAGACAAACUCAAAGUAAUUCAAAACUGCUCAAAAAUUACAUAUAUAUAUAUAUAUAUAUAUGUAUGCAUAUGUAUUUAUAACUUAUAAAACUUCCUAACACAUGUUUAUCUUAAUCUAUCACAGAACAAUACGCAGAAAAUGAUAAAUAUGGAACAAGAAAUAGAAAAAUUGAAAGCUGAGACAACCAAGUCGAAACAAUAUGAAAAAAAAAAUUGAAGAAAUAAAUGCACAACUAGAGAAAGCAAAGACAGAAUGUGAAAAACUUAAAACAGACAACGAAGAGAAAAACAAGACUUUGCAAAAAUUAACGAUUGAAUUAGAUAAUAAAACUCAUUCCUACAAUUUAUUAAAAAAAGAACAAAAUAUGAAUAACUUGAACAUUUUUAGCGAAUUAAGCAAUGUAAACCAAUCAGAAGAAUUAAUCAGACUUCAAAAAGAAAAUGAAAAUUUGAGAAAUAAAAUGGAAUCCGAUGCAAAUAAAGAAUCAAACAGAGUGAAAGAACUUGAAAAAGAACUCGAGGAUUUGAAAAUAAUAAACACCAAUUUAAAGAAUGAAGUAUUAAAAGGCACAAAUAAUAACAACGUUCAAGCUAAUCCACAGCAGGAAAAAUAUGAAGCACAAAAUGAAAAAAUCAUCAAAUUAGAAGCUGAGUUAUUAAUGGAAAAAAAAAAUAGUACAAUUAUUGAAGAAACGACUAAAAAUAAAUUAAAGAAGGAAUUUAAUGCUGCAUUGCAAAUUUUUAAAGAACAAUUACAAAUUAGAGAAAAAGAAACCGAAUAUUAUAAAGAAAUAAUGAAAACACAAAUCGACACUUUUAAAGACGAACAAAAAUUAUUAAGCGAUAUUAUUCACAGCUUAGGACUCAAAUACAAACAACUACAAACUUAUAAUCUUUGUUUAAAGAAUGAAAUUACAGGAAUUAAAUUAAGAGCCGAAGCUUGUACAAAUAUCGACAAAAAAUGAAAUGCCCGUUUUAAACAUAUAUUAGUCCUUAUACUUAUUUUUCUUCUGUUUUUAAAUUAUUUUACCUUUUUUAUAAAUUAAAAAAUCAGUAAAGUAACACCAUGAAUAAAAUAAAUAUUUCAUAUUUGUACA
rnacentral:lncRNA from 1 species